GCUCCAGUCACCAGCGGCACAGUCUCGCGGCGGGAUGCAAUACAAGCACCCAAGCCGCCGGCACCUGCAUAGGCCUACAGCAGCAAGCCCCAAUCGAAUGGAUCUUGCAAGCGGCAUGAACCAGCAGCGGCGGUGCGGCAGCCCGGCCAGCGACCGCUGCUCUUCUUCCUCCACGAUGGGCAGGCAUCACACGGGCAGUUCUCCUUUCUGCUGGAGCCACGCAUCGUCAUCUGCGGAGGCAUCGUAGCUGUGAUCUGCUUUGGAGUUCGGAUCUGAACGGUCCCGUUCUUCUCACACAUGAAGGAUCACCAGGUAGAAAUCUCUUAUCAAACACCAAGCAAUUGUUGAUCCGGUAGUUUUUUCCCUUCCCAUUCCCAAUCUCAUCUCUCAUCCAUUUAGGAUCAAUUUGGGAGAUGAUUAUCCGAGCUCCAGAAGAUAUGGUGAAAUCAAUUUUUUUAUAGAAAUAGCAUUACGGUGCCAGCGAGGAAAUUGGAUGCUACAACGUCCAAUGGAAAGCAAGUGACAUACUUUUUUCUUAGAUCUGAAAGCAAAUCCAUCGAUCUUGAGACCAUGGUAUUUUUUUCUCUCAUUUAGCAGCCUCAUGAAUCACUGGAACCAAGCUUUCACAGUCACUCUCCUCAACGAGCAAAUCUGCACACGAGCAGGAGUUGUAUCUCCCUCCAUGCGUUGUUUCUUAUUUAUAUGCUUCUCUGUACCCCUUGUUCUUCUAAUUGGUUGGGGUCAAAGAUCUGUUGCCCUAAAACAAAAAAUGUCCACAUUUUUCCUUACAGCAUGCAGAGGGGAAUGCCGGAACAAUAUUGUUCUCGAUGGAUCUGCUUCGAUGAGCUGACAACAUGACUAACUGCAAGUAAUUGAUGAGGAAGAAAAGAUGUGGCAUACAAGUACAUCCGCAGUUGAUGAUUCAAAGACUCUAGAUGUAAAGUUUGAUGGAGCUAGCAAUCUUGUUUUUUCUCUCAAUGUACUCGAAGCAUUCCAUUUUUCUAUUUUUACAUUUUCUAGUAAUCCUUUUCCUAUCUUUGUUGUCUAGUAGUGCAAACGACGAAAAUGCUCAUUGUAUCAGGUCUAAAUGUAAAAAUUUACUAUUGUGAAUGUAAUCUCUAUAUUAUUGAGAAGUAAAUACCCAACAA